rnacentral:rRNA from 1 species
AUUGAACGCUGGCGGCAUGCUUUACACAUGCAAGUCGAACGGUAACAGGGUGCUUGCACCGCUGACGAGUGGCGAACGGGUGAGUAAUGCGUCGGAACGUGCCGAGUAGUGGGGGAUAACGCAGCGAAAGUUGUGCUAAUACCGCAUACGUACUGAGGUAGAAAGUGGGGGACCUUCGGGCCUCACGCUAUUCGAGCGGCCGACGUCUGAUUAGCUAGUAGGUGAGGUAAAGGCUCACCUAGGCGACGAUCAGUAGCGGGUCUGAGAGGAUGAUCCGCCACACUGGGACUGAGACACGGCCCAGACUCCUACGGGGGGCAGCAGUGGGGAAUUUUGGACAAUGGGCGAAAGCCUGAUCCAGUCAUGCCGCGUGUCUGAAGAAGGCCUUCGGGUUGUAAAGGACUUUUGUCAGGGAGGAAAUCCCUAGCGUUAAUACCGCUGGGGGAUGACAGUACCUGAAGAAUAAGCACCGGCUAACUACGUGCCAGCCGCCGCAGUAAAAC